AGCCAAAGUGAAACAAAACGUUGCUUUAAAACAAGUUAUGUAUUCAUAAUGUCUACUGAUUGUUUUGUAAUCUCUGCUCUCUCUGUGGUUGUCUUCCUAUUAAUUUCUGAUAGUAAUUAUGUGAUUUCCCUUUUUCUUGAUAAAUCUCACUAAUGACUUGUGUACUAGAUUUUUCUUGAAAACAACUGUUGGCUUUGAUCCACAGCUGGAUCAUCAUCCAUGGCUGGGACAUCAGGGGCAUUAUCCACAGACGGGCAUCUACAGCUGGGGCAUCAUCCAUGCCUGUGGCAUCAUCCACAGAUGGGCAUCAUCAACUGCUGGGGCAUCAUCCACUGCUGCAGCGUCCACAGAUGGGGCAUCAUCCAUGCCAGGGGCAUCAUUCACUGCUGUGGCAUCAUCCACAGAUGGGCAUCAUCCAUGUCUGGGGCAUCCA
rnacentral:lncRNA from 13 species